GGCCAAACUCAUAGGCAUGGGGACUGUACCUUAAAAUACUGAUUCCCUUUAUGCUUAAUUCCAACGGCCAUCUCUAGUUUCUCUUUUAAGUCCAUUUCCCAGAAUUCUUUAUGCUUGUGGAAACAAAAUGAGAGACCGUGAUGACAAAUGGCUGAUCACAAAGGUGUUUGUUUUCAAUAAGAAAGUCACAUGCUCUGAAAAAGAGUAGAAGGGUUUAUUAUAGAACCGUGUAGUGCAUUUGUAAAGAUUUCUCACCCUUUGGAAGUCUUUGAGAGUAACUUCAUAUGCAAUGUCUUUGUCUGGUCCAAUAUUGUAUUCUGGUUUGCCUUCUCUUCCAAAGCCAUACCUGUUAGAAACAAAUUAAUUAAAACUGCUGGACAUGAGGCUUAACAGAU